AUCAUUAUGGCAGAUUAGUGCUAAGAAGUUAAGUUUCUUAUAUGAGUAUUUAAUUUUACUCUUAUGAUA
rnacentral:tRNA from 1 species